rnacentral:rRNA from 1 species
UACGUAGGUGGCGAGCGUUAUCCGGAAUGAUUGGGCGCAAAGGGUGCGUAGGCGGCCUGCUAAGUCUGGAGAGAAAGGUACCGGCUCAACCGGUACAGGCUCUGGAAACUGGCGGGCUAGAGAGCAGGAGAGGGCGGUGGAACUCCAUGUGUAGCGGUGAAAUGCGUAGAUAUAUGGAGGAACACCGGUGGCGAAAGCGGCUCUCUGGCCUGUAACUGACACUGAGGCUCGAAAGCGUGGGGAGCAAACAGG